UGGGGAAUAUUGCACAAUGGGCGCAAGCCUGAUGCAGCCAUGCCGCGUGUGUGAAGAAGGCCUUCGGGUUGUAAAGCACUUUCAGCGAGGAGGAAGGUGGUGAGCUUAAUACGCUCAUCAAUUGACGUUACUCGCAGAAGAAGCACCGGCUAACUCCGUGCCAGCAGCCGCGGUAAUACGGAGGGUGCAAGCGUUAAUCGGAAUUACUGGGCGUAAAGCGCACGCAGGCGGUUUGUUAAGUCAGAUGUGAAAUCCCCGGGCUCAACCUGGGAACUGCAUUUGAAACUGGCAAGCUAGAGUCUCGUAGAGGGGGUAGAAUUCCAGGUGUAGCGGUGAAAUGCGUAGAGAUCUGGAGGAAUACCGGUGGCGAAGGCGGCCCCCUGGACGAAGACUGACGCUCAGGUGCGAAAGCGUGGGGCAGCAAACAGGAUUAGAUACCCUGGUAGUCCACGCUGUAAACGAUGUCGAUUUUGGAGGUUGUGCCCUUGAGGCGUGGCUUCCGGAGCUAACGCGUUAAAUCGACCGCCUGGGGAGUACGGCCGCAAGGUUAAAACUCAAAUGAAUUG
rnacentral:rRNA from 1 species